rnacentral:tRNA from 1 species
AGGGGUAUGAUGUUAACGGCAGCAUGACGGUCUCCAAAACCGUUCGUGAGGGUUCAAAUCCUUCUACCCCUGCCA